rnacentral:rRNA from 1 species
CGGGCGUGGUGAGGGAGGGACGGGGUGCGGGUUAGGGGAGCGGGCGUGGCGAGGGAGGGAGGAGCUAGAGAGAGGGACCGGUCGGCGGUAACCACCCUUUGGGAUCGGGUAAUAGGGUUAGUUGUGUCAGCGUCGAGAAGAGGAAGAAAGAGGGAAGAGGGGGGAGGAGGGGAGUGGUGUCGGCGUUGGAUCCCCGAGGCGGCAGGCAAAGCUACUCUAGGUGGUGGAGUGCUCCAAGAGUAGACGGGGUCCAACGCUCCUUCGGCGCCCUCCUCCUCACUGGAACCACGCUCUAUCCAUGCCUCCUCCUCGAGUUGGUCGCGCAGAAGCCGGCCUCCUCCCUUCGUCGCCUACGCUCGGUCCUCCACCUAGCCGAGCCGGGUCGAUACCUCCGCCGGCCCCGCCCGCGCCUCUCCCGGCUACGCCGCCGCCGGUUCCGGUCCCUCCUGCUCCAACGUAGGUAGUCGCUCUUCGCCGGCUAGGUGGACGCACGGCAGUGACGUCCCUAUCGCAGCGGCAGAGGGAGAGGGGACCACCGUGGAGGGAUAUACAACUCCAACCAGGACCUUACCAACCGAAACUCUGAAAACCACCGUCAUAUAAGAAUACGGCUCCUCUUCGUAAACGUCCUGCUAAUACACCAAUAGACACCGUCACACGAGGAUAGGAGGGGCGGAGGUAUGAAGUAAAAACCUUUUGAUUACUAAAAUUAAGGACCUACAGUAUCUACAACUCCAACCAGGACCUUACCAACCGAAACCCUGAAAACCACCGUCAUAUAAGAAUACGGCUGCUGUUCGUAAACAUGGUAAUUAACACGGAGUCGAAGCAUCGGCUAGAAGCUAGCAGGUACCGUAGUUGUGUGUUUAACUAUUACGUUUGGAGUCGGUGUCGAGGUUCUUAUGCGCCUCCUCCACCGGGCCCAGCCGCAGCCGCGGCAGGCCGUGCCCGGUGCCCGGGCGAAGGUUCGCGUAGACGCGCAGCCGGUGGGUGCGGCACAGGAAGUUCACGGUGAAGGUGGCGUUUGAGGGUCCCAGUGCCGGUACCGGUCCCGGUCCCUUCGGCGGGAAGAAGCGGAGGAAGUGGUCGGCGUCGGUUGCGCCACGGCGCCGUGGGCCGGAGCGGCAGGAGCAGGAGGUCGUGGCAGCGCUGGGUCACUGCGUCGGGUUCGUAGCCGGAGCUCUUAGUUCUUGCGAGCUGUUGCAUCUCCCUUCCUUUCCAGUAUAUGUACAGUAUUCUUUCCCUCAAAUAAAUGGCGAGGGAGCUACAUAACAAAGGAAACAAACCUCUAACUAAUGGUAGGCACUCAAUUCCAUUCCAAAUGCACUAACUCGCUAAAAAACUUUUAGUUAAUAAACAAAAGAUUAAUUACAUUAACUCACUUAAUUCCAUUCCAAUUAAUUAAAUCUAAACUAGAAAUCUCUAACAAGCACUAACUAAGAUGUAAUGAUUUAUUGAACGCGGUCAUACCUUUCAAGACUAGACAAAUCUAAAGAAAGCAACACACUCUACCACUGCGCUUUUAUUUGGCUACUUCACUCCCUUCCCCUGCUUUUUUAGAUGCUUUUUUUGGUCGCUUCCACCCUCCUCCAUGGUUUUUUUUGGUACUUUCCACCCUCCUCUGAUGGUUGACAAAGUAAUCCUCAUCUUUAAUAAUCUCUAAUCUCUAAUAAACAAAGGACUUUUAGAUAAUAAACAAAGGAUUAUAUUUAACGUAAUUACUCUCUCUAAAGCAUCUAAACCGAUUCCAUCCUUUCUUAGAUAAUAAACAAACGAUUUCGUUUAACGUAAUUACCCUCUCUAGGCAACUAAACCGAUUCCAUCCUUUCUUAGAUAAUAAACAAACGAUUUCUUUUAACGUAAUUAUCUUCUCUAGGCAACUAAACCAAUUCCAUCUUUUCUUAGAUAAUAAACAAAGGAUUUCUUUUAACGUAAUUGCUCUCUCUAAACAACUAAACCGAUUCCAUCCGCCAAAAACGCCAAGCACCGCCGAAUCACACUCCACCCUACUCCAUGUUUUUUUUGGUACCCUCCACCCUGCUUUUUUUUGGACCCUCCACCCUCAACAGGGACCAAUUGGAUGUUUUAAAGCAUCUAAAAAAAUCCUGCUUUUUUUGGGCACCUUCCACCCUGAUUUUUUUGGACCUUCGCUCUGAUGGUUGACGAGGGAAUCCUCAUCUCUAAGUACCCUAGUGGUUGAAAACCGCAAACAACUAUGAUCGAUACACCCCGGUACUUAAGGAUCUUCUAACACCGUUAAUAGGACGAAGCGAACGUUCUAACCAAAGAUUUUUAUAGUACCAUCAAUAUUAAAGUCUAACGACGACUAAACUGAUUUAUACAAAACUAACAAAAAUUCGAAACUGAGAAAUGACACACGUGUUGAUUAAGUAAGGAUUAAUUUAGAAAGUUACCAACUACCCUUGUGAUGUCUAGAACGAAGAGACGAAAAAUUACAAAGUAUACAAAAGUACAUGUUUGGCUCCGUACGCCUACGCCCCCGCUACCGCCCGUAGAGGCCGUCGCCGCCGCUGGACGUCCGUUCUCCGUUGCUGACCCCACAAGCUAAGCUAGGUCGCGGUACCGGACCAGGGACGUCCUCUCUCUCUACUCCCUGUCUCUCUCUUCCUUCCUCUCCUCCCUGUUUCUCUCUCCCUCCACUUACGUGACCUGAGAAGUUCUAGCUCGCGUGGUAACCUUUCCGGCUCAUGCAGGUAGCUGUCGGACGGGUAACAGGCCUAAGUGGUUCGUCAUGUUGGCCUCUACGACAGCCGACGGACGUCCGUGGUUUGGCGGGCGACAACAGAGACGGACUUCUUCCUAAUACCAAGAGGUGGGGAAACGAUGAGUAUAAUUUUAAGGCGAUAAGGCCUCUUCAAAUCUCGAAGACGUUGGAAAACUUCUGUGCUAAAUAUCAACGCCUCUACUUUGUUAGUUAGUCAACGCUACGUAAUGUAUUAGAAAAACGAGACCUGUAACUACCCAUAAUAAAACGGUGUUUCCUGUCCUCGACACGGUAAACUGAGCUUCCUAUUUCGCAAGUAGUCUUCCCCCACCAGAAAUCCUACAUGUGUUUUCUCCUUUAAAGGAAAACAUAUCUUGGUUUAAUAUACUACAUUAACUGGUAAGAGAACAUGUGUUACAAAUAGUACAUAAUUCAUGUAAAAUAACAGUUUAUACAAAUGAAAAAAAUCACGUGUUCAAGUAUUGAGGAACCUGAAAGAUUAACGUCCGAGUUGAUAAACUUUGGUGACUAGACUAAAACAACCCAGACACAUAAUCACAUACACACAUAACUUCAAACCACUCAGAGUCCUUCUUGGUUUGAAAACAAGGAUAGAGUAGUAUACGAUAGAGUUUACGUUUUACAAUCGAUGAAGUUAGAGUACAAAUUUUUACAUUAACUAAUGUUUAACACGUACGAGUUCAUGCAUUUAUAAACAUUUCUCU